rnacentral:rRNA from 1 species
UACGUAGGGGGCAAGCGUUGUCCGGAAUCAUUGGGCGUAAAGAGCUCGUAGGCGGUUUUGUAAGCCAGAUGUGAAAUCCCCGGGCUUAACCUGGGAAUGGCAUUUGGGACUGCAAGGCUCGAGUGCGGCAGAGGAGACUGGAAUUCCUGGUGUAGCAGUGAAAUGCGUAGAUAUCAGGAGGAACACCGAUGGCGAAGGCAGGUCUCUGGGCUGACACUGACGCUCAUGCACGAAAGCGUGGGGAGCAAACAGG